AUGUGUGCAGAGCCCCACUGUCGCAAGAAUGGACAAGGAAAAGGGGAAGGAGAGGAGGAGGAGAAGGAGAAAGAGAGGAGCUUGGUCUCUAUUAUGAAGACUAAGCCGGCUGUCCCAGGAAGUAGAAGGGAAGGGCAAGGCCUGUGUCUCUGCCAAGGAAGCCGGCCAAGGAUUACGGCAAUGUCCCGCUCGCCGAGUUAUUAA
rnacentral:rRNA from 1 species